UAUUAAAAAUUUCAUCCAUUUUUACGAUUAAAAAAUGACAUGGCUAACAAAAUAACCAAACAAUUAUACAUGGCAUGUCACGUACACCUCUUUCUGACAUAUAGGGAUUGGUUUUUAACAAUAGAAUUAAAUGAAGUUUUUAAUA
rfam:Gossypium arboreum cultivar AKA8401 contig_12639_9, whole genome shotgun sequence.